rnacentral:lncRNA from 1 species
GGGAAACUUGCCAUCAGGUGGGGCAUGUCAGCUGGAGGCAGAUGGCUGCAUUCCCAAGGAAAGAGGAGAGAGGAGGAAGAAAGCUGGGAACCAACGUGGAAAAACGGGCAAGAACCACAGCCAAACGAUAUCCCAGGAACAGGCCACGGCUGCCCAGGACACGUCUUCCACCCGCCCCGCCACUGGUGGAUUUGGACUCCUGCCCAUGCCACCAGAGAGGAAAAGGUCAAGCAGAGAAGGAUCCCCAGGAAGUUACGCAGGAGUCCCCUUGAGUUUUCAAGCAAACACUUAGCUACACAUGCACAAGGCGAGGGUUUGUGGAGCCUCUCAGAGAAGAGCCACCAGGGAGCCAAAGGGAGACUCCAG